rnacentral:rRNA from 1 species
UUAAGCGACUAAGCGUACACGGUGGAUGCCCUGGCAGUCAGAGGCGAUGAAGGACGUGCUAAUCUGCGAUAAGCGUCGGUAAGGUGAUAUGAACCGUUAUAACCGGCGAUUUCCGAAUGGGGAAACCCAGUGUGUUUCGACACACUAUCAUUAACUGAAUCCAUAGGUUAAUGAGGCGAACCGGGGGAACUGAAACAUCUAAGUACCCCGAGGAAAAGAAAUCAACCGAGAUUCCCCCAGUAGCGGCGAGCGAACGGGGAGCAGCCCAGAGCCUGAAUCAGUNNNNNNNNNNNNNNNNNNNNNNNNNNNNNNNNNNNNNNNNNNNNNNNNNNNNNNNNUGUGAGCUCGAUGAGUAGGGCGGGACACGUGGUAUCCUGUCUGAAUAUGGGGGGACCAUCCUCCAAGGCUAAAUACUCCUGACUGACCGAUAGUGAACCAGUACCGUGAGGGAAAGGCGAAAAGAACCCCGGCGAGGGGAGUGAAAAAGAACCUGAAACCGUGUACGUACAAGCAGUGGGAGCACGCUUAGGCGUGUGACUGCGUACCUUUUGUAUAAUGGGUCAGCGACUUAUAUUCUGUAGCAAGGUUAACCGAAUAGGGGAGCCGAAGGGAAACCGAGUCUUAACUGGGCGUUAAGUUGCAGGGUAUAGACCCGAAACCCGGUGAUCUAGCCAUGGGCAGGUUGAAGGUUGGGUAACACUAACUGGAGGACCGAACCGACUAAUGUUGAAAAAUUAGCGGAUGACUUGUGGCUGGGGGUGAAAGGCCAAUCAAACCGGGAGAUAGCUGGUUCUCCCCGAAAGCUAUUUAGGUAGCGCCUCGUGAAUUCAUCUCCGGGGGUAGAGCACUGUUUCGGCAAGGGGGUCAUCCCGACUUACCAACCCGAUGCAAACUGCGAAUACCGGAGAAUGUUAUCACGGGAGACACACGGCGGGUGCUAACGUCCGUCGUGAAGAGGGAAACAACCCAGACCGCCAGCUAAGGUCCCAAAGUCAUGGUUAAGUGGGAAACGAUGUGGGAAGGCCCAGACAGCCAGGAUGUUGGCUUAGAAGCAGCCAUCAUUUAAAGAAAGCGUAAUAGCUCACUGGUCGAGUCGGCCUGCGCGGAAGAUGUAACGGGGCUAAACCAUGCACCGAAGCUGCGGCAGCGACGCUUAUGCGUUGUUGGGUAGGGGAGCGUUCUGUAAGCCUGCGAAGGUGUGCUGUGAGGCAUGCUGGAGGUAUCAGAAGUGCGAAUGCUGACAUAAGUAACGAUAAAGCGGGUGAAAAGCCCGCUCGCCGGAAGACCAAGGGUUCCUGUCCAACGUUAAUCGGGGCAGGGUGAGUCGACCCCUAAGGCGAGGCCGAAAGGCGUAGUCGAUGGGAAACAGGUUAAUAUUCCUGUACUUGGUGUUACUGCGAAGGGGGGACGGAGAAGGCUAUGUUGGCCGGGCGACGGUUGUCCCGGUUUAAGCGUGUAGGCUGGUUUUCCAGGCAAAUCCGGAAAAUCAAGGCUGAGGCGUGAUGACGAGGCACUACGGUGCUGAAGCAACAAAUGCCCUGCUUCCAGGAAAAGCCUCUAAGCAUCAGGUAAUAUCAAAUCGUACCCCAAACCGACACAGGUGGUCAGGUAGAGAAUACCAAGGCGCUUGAGAGAACUCGGGUGAAGGAACUAGGCAAAAUGGUGCCGUAACUUCGGGAGAAGGCACGCUGAUAUGUAGGUGAAGUCCCUCGCGGAUGGAGCUGAAAUCAGUCGAAGAUACCAGCUGGCUGCAACUGUUUAUUAAAAACACAGCACUGUGCAAACACGAAAGUGGACGUAUACGGUGUGACGCCUGCCCGGUGCCGGAAGGUUAAUUGAUGGGGUCAGCGCAAGCGAAGCUCUUGAUCGAAGCCCCGGUAAACGGCGGCCGUAACUAUAACGGUCCUAAGGUAGCGAAAUUCCUUGUCGGGUAAGUUCCGACCUGCACGAAUGGCGUAAUGAUGGCCAGGCUGUCUCCACCCGAGACUCAGUGAAAUUGAACUCGCUGUGAAGAUGCAGUGUACCCGCGGCAAGACGGAAAGACCCCGUGAACCUUUACUAUAGCUUGACACUGAACAUUGAGCCUUGAUGUGUAGGAUAGGUGGGAGGCUUUGAAGUGUGGACGCCAGUCUGCAUGGAGCCGACCUUGAAAUACCACCCUUUAAUGUUUGAUGUUCUAACGUUGACCCGUGAUCCGGGUUGCGGACAGUGUCUGGUGGGUAGUUUGACUGGGGCGGUCUCCUCCUAAAGAGUAACGGAGGAGCACGAAGGUUGGCUAAUCCUGGUCGGACAUCAGGAGGUUAGUGCAAUGGCAUAAGCCAGCUUGACUGCGAGCGUGACGGCGCGAGCAGGUGCGAAAGCAGGUCAUAGUGAUCCGGUGGUUCUGAAUGGAAGGGCCAUCGCUCAACGGAUAAAAGGUACUCCGGGGAUAACAGGCUGAUACCGCCCAAGAGUUCAUAUCGACGGCGGUGUUUGGCACCUCGAUGUCGGCUCAUCACAU